GCAAGUCGCACGAAACGUAAGUUUAGUGGCGCACGGGUGAGUAACACGUGGGAAUCUACCUUAAAGGCUGGGAUAACUUCUGGAAACGGGGGCUAAUACUGGAUGUGUCUGAGAAGAUAAAGAAGUAAUUCGCUUUAAGAUGAGCCCGCGGUUGAUUAGCUAGUUGGUGGGGUAAAGGCCUACCAAGGCAAUGAUCAAUAGCUGUUCUGAGAGGAAGAUCAGCCACACUGGGACUGAGACACGGCCCAGACUCCUACGGGAGGCAGCAGUGGGGAAUUUUGGACAAUGGGGGCAACCCUGAUCCAGCAAUGCCGCGUGAGUGAAGAAGGCCUUCGGGUUGUAAAGCUCUUUAGUCGAUGAAGAUAAUGACGGUAAUCGAAGAAUAAGUCCCGGCAAACUUCGUGCCAGCAGCCGCGGUAAUACGAAGGGGACUAGCGUUGUUCGGAAUCACUGGGCGUAAAGCGCAAGUAGGUUGUUAGAUAAGUCAGAUGUGAAAUACUUGCUCUUAAGGCAAGAACUGCAUUUGAAACUGUUUAACUUGAGUACAGAAGGGGAUAGUGGAAUUCCAAGUGUAGAAGUGAAAUUCGUAGAUAUUUGGAGGAACACCAGUAGCGAAGGCGUCUAUCUGGUCUGUAACUGACACUGAGUUGCGAAAGCAUGGGGAGCAAACNGGAUUAGAUACCCUGGUAGUCCAUGCUGUAAACGAUGAGUGCUAGAUGUUGGUGUUNAGGCAUCAGUAUNUGANCUAACGCAUUANGCACUCCGNCUGAGUNGUACGGUCGCAAGAUUAAAACUCAAAGGAAUUGACNGGGACCCGCACAAGCGGUGGAGCAUGUGGUUUAAUUCGAAGAUACGCGAAAAACCUUACCAGGAUUUGACAUUAUAUUUAUAGAUGUAAGAGAYUACAUUGUCAUUUAGUUGGAAUAUAACAGGUGCUGCAUGGCUGUCGUCAGCUCGUGUCGUGAGAUGUUGGGUUAAGUCCCGCAACGAGCGCAACCCCCAUUUUUAGUUGCUAACAGGUUAAGCUGAGAACUCUAAAAAAACUGCUGGUGCUAAGCCAGAGGAAGGUGGGGAUGACGUCAAGUCCUCAUGGCCCUUAUAUCCUGGGCUACACACGUGCUACAAUGGCGAUGACAAUAAGUUGCAAGAUUGUGAGAUGGAGCUAAUCUUAAAAAGUCGCCUCAGUUCGGAUUGUACUCUGCAACUCGAGUACAUGAAGUUGGAAUCGCUAGUAAUCGCAAAUCAGCAUGUUGCGGUGAAUACGUUCCCGGGUCUUGUACACACCGCCCGUCACACCAUGGGAGCUGAUUUUACCUUAAGAUGGUAUACCAACCGCGAGGAGGAAGCCAGCCAAGGUAGGGUUAGUGACUGGGGUGAAGUCGUAACAAGGUAGCCGUAGGGGAACCUGCGGCUGGAUCACCUCC
rnacentral:rRNA from 1 species